GCCUGAUCCAGCAAUGCCGCGUGAGUGAAGAAGGCCUUCGGGUUGUAAAGCUCUUUUGUCAGGGAAGAAACGGUCUCGGCUAAUAUCCGGGGCUAAUGACGGUACCUGAAGAAUAAGCACCGGCUAACUACGUGCCAGCAGCCGCGGUAAUACGUAGGGUGCAAGCGUUAAUCGGAAUUACUGGGCGUAAAGCGUGCGCAGGCGGUUUUGUAAGUCUGACGUGAAAUCCCCGGGCUCAACCUGGGAAUUGCGUUGGAGACUGCAAGGCUGGAGUCUGGCAGAGGGGGGUAGAAUUCCACGUGUAGCAGUGAAAUGCGUAGAGAUGUGGAGGAACACCGAUGGCGAAGGCAGCCCCCUGGGUCAAGACUGACGCUCAUGCACGAAAGCGUGGGGAGCAAACAGGAUUAGAUACCCUGGUAGUCCACGCCCUAAACGAUGUCUACUAGUUGUCGGGUUUUAAUUAACUUGGUAACGCAGCUAACGCGUGAAGUAGACCGCCUGGGGAGUACGGUCGCAAGAUUAAAACUCAAAGGAAUUGACGGGGACCCGCACAAGCGGUGGAUGAUGUGGAUUAAUUCGAUGCAACGCGAAAAACCUUACCUACCCUUGACAUGUCAGGAACCUCCGAGAGAUUGGAGGGUGCCCGAAAGGGA
rnacentral:rRNA from 1 species